rnacentral:misc_RNA from 1 species
CAACCCUCAAGCGCGCAGCUUGGUGUUGGGCCACGCCGCCAGCGGCCGGCCCCAAAGCCAGCGGCGGCGCCGCCGGGGCCCUGAGCGUAGUAGAAAACACCCCGCUCCAGGGCACGGCGGCCGCGCCUGCCGGACCCCCCGUCCUCGUG